AAUGAAGGUCAGGAUGUGCUGCGCUGGACUGCGGAAUCUUCUCCAAGGGCUGAGCUUCAGUGCCAAGUACCACUGCAAGCAUAACCCUCCCCAAACAGUGCGUCCGUACAGUAAAGUAGGACCGAAGAAGUGCCACAUCCUGGACUGUUCAAAAAGCACAUGCACGCACAGGACUGCACCACCUGGGAGCGUCCUGCCAUGCAGAUUCUUUUCCUGCCAGCAGGAAGGAACAAAAGUCCCUUCCAAAAGGAAGCAAAAUACAUCCAUAGCAACUUCAGACCUUUUGAAGAAGAACCUUCUAAAAUCAGAGCAAAAAAACUGGAAUAACAUUUCACCAACAUACAAAGCUAUGACAAAGAGAAUCAAAGAAAAACUGGAAGAACUGCACAACAUGUAUACACUCAAUUCAGGAAGCCCAAGGAUGAGGUUUGGAGAGAAUGUGUACUUUGAAGAGCAUGGCUGCAUAUUUCUUGCAAGAGCAGAUGAUGGUGAAGGAAAUGCUGAGAUUUUAUUCAGUGUUGAAGAUCUUGGCUUUUCUGAUGCCUUUAUUCAACGGAUCAGAAUUUCACCAGAUCAGAGAUACAUGGCCAUCAGCUUAAAAAGUGAAAAUUCUGAGGAGGCAACCUGCAUUAUUGUGAAACUUGGUAAUCUUCCUGUUGUGGAAAAAGUAAUUUCAAGUGUAUUUAGCUUUGAAUGGGCUGCAAAUGAUGUUCUGUAUUACACAAUUCAGAAGAACCUUAAAUGCCAGAAUGUAUUCAUGACCACUUUCAUUUACCAGAAACAUACUAAGUUGGUUUAUACAGAACAAGAUGCAAGAUUCUUUGUAGACCUUUAUUGCACAAAAGACAGGCGUUUUCUCACUAUCAACAGCAACAGCAAGACAACCUCAGAAGUUUGGCUGGUUGACUGCAGACAUCCCUUCGAGUCACCUGCCCUUGUACAGGCACGAACCCCGGGGGUCCUUUACCACAUCGAGCACAGAGAGGACCAGUUGUACAUUCUUACCACAUAUGGAGAACCUGCAGAAUAUAAGUUGAUGAAGGCACCAGUAACUUCCAGUGGCAAGGAGAACUGGCAAUUAGUUUAUGCACUGGAAAAGGAAACCAAGCUAGUGGACUUUGAGAUGUUCAAUGAUGACUGUAUUAUGUUCCUGAAGAACGCUGGUCACCUUUAUUUAAAUGUGAUUUCUUUGGUUUCACACUCAGUUCAGACAAUAAAGCUGCCUACGUGGGCCUGUGAAUUUGAAUUGGAAUCUCAUCCUGAACAUACCACCAGCACCUGCUAUUUUCAGCUCUCCUCCCCAGUACACCCCCCUAAGCGUUUUGCAUAUUCAUUUAAAGAAAAUAAUCUCAUUGAACAAGCUGUGCAAGAGGUACCAAUUAUUACGAAUUGUCACACUACACGUUUACUAGCUAAAAGCAAGGAUGAAACUUCGGUGCCAAUUACAGUUUUUCAUAAUAAGAAUUCUAAAGAACUACACAGGAGACCACUUCUAGUUCAUGUAUAUGGAGCUUAUGGCAUAGAUUUGAACAUGAGCUUUAAAGAAGAGAAGCUGAUGUUAAUUGAAGAGGGUUGGAUAUUAGCAUAUUGCCAUGUUAGGGGUGGAGGAGAGCAGGGCCUUGGCUGGCACAGAGAUGGAUGUCAGCAUAAUAAACUCAAAGGUCUCCACGACCUCAGGGCUUGCAUCACGCUGCUGCACCAACUGGGAUUUUCUGAGCCCAAGCACACAGCACUGGCAGCUGCCAGUGCUGGGGGAGUUCUGGCAGGAGCCCUGUGCAACACUGAUCCAGCACUGAUCAGAGCCGUGGUUUUACAGGCUCCUUUCGUAGAUGUUCUAAAUACAAUGAUGAAAACUCAUCUCCCACUGACAAUUGAGGAACAAGAAGAAUGGGGAAAUCCAUUAGAAGAUGAAAAAUGUAUGAAGUAUAUCAAAAGCUAUUGCCCAUACCAGAAUAUUAAGCCACAGUGCUAUCCAUCAGUUUUUAUCACGGCGUAUGAAAAUGAUGAACGGACACCACUAACAGGGAUUUUACAGUAUGUUCAGAAACUCAGGAAGGCUGCACUAGAUCAUGCCAGCAGAAGUAAGAAUGUGAUCACCAGCUUCAUUGUUGCAGGAAAUUGGAUUCCUAAUAUCAUCCUAGAUGUCCAGGCAAGUGGCAGUCAUUGUGAGUCAUCCUGGGAGCACUCAGUGAGUGAGGUUGCAAGACACCUUGCUUUUCUGAACAGAGAACUAGAGGAAGUGUGCCAUCCCCAACAUCACAGCAAAUCCUGCACGUAACUCCUAAACACACUGACCACCUGAAAAACUUUGGGUCAGAUUUGGAUUUGUACGGAAAGCAAACACCUUCUGCAGAGGAUCUCUCCUCUCGGAUCCCUGCUUGAUGGGCACAAGCACACAAAGCUGGGUGUGGCAUUGCCUUACAAAAACACAUACCAAGAACUGGAUUUCUGCCCUGCCAGGCUGUGCAGAAGCAGCUGCCAGCAGACACGAGCUUGUCCAGCAGCUCUGUUCACGUGAGGCAGCAGAGCAGCGCUACACGAGCGGAACUGGAGCACAGCAGUGGGGACCUGGAGCCUCACAGGAGAGUCACAGGCGCUUGGCACGGGCAGCCUUCCUGCCCAAGGCAUCUCUUCCAAGGCCACAUCUCACACAAGGCAGCAGAACUCCUCUGGAGCAUCUGACACUGAAGUCUCACUACUUCCAGAACUAGUGCCCAUGUGCAGAUGUGGCACAUCCACCCCCGGUUCAGGGGCAGCUCCCUGCUCCGCAGCGAGGUCAGCGCUCUGUACAAACCCAGCGUCGAGUUGGAGCGGCUGCUCUGGAUCUGCAACAGUCAGCACCAACAGGGUCAGCUCCUGGCCCUGCACCGAGGGAAUGCAGCUCCCGCUCACUCCCCCUCCUCAGGCUGCUGGGAACGUGCCUGUCAGAAUUCCAGGCUGACAAUUAUCCCUCUGCAAAUCUGUCUGCAGAUUUCACUGGAAAACUGCUUUUUCUCAUGCCCUGCCUUGGCACACGUGCAGUGGCAGACACAGAGUUCAUUAAGCACAACACUUCCCAGCACUAACGCGAUUGCUUCCUCCCACAGCUUCCUUUCAGUACUGUUGAUUCAGGAGAAAGCCACAGUCUUUCAAAGCUUGACACUGAAUCUUUUUCACUGAGUCCAGUCCACUGCAGUCACACAGUUUAUUUCACAUUUUAUAUUUCUGCUAUCUUAGAUAUUUUUUUCUGCCCUCAAUUUUGGUCAGCACUGUAGGUCAGCAAAAUCUGCUUGAUUCGCUGCUCUACUUACGUUAGAGUUGGUCUAUGUCAAGUUCUUGUUAGAAAGCCAGCCCUUUCUAUAGCAAUAGAAAUGGGGGAAAGGAGACCAGUUUUCAAUUUAAUAUCAAAAAGAUUAAAAGGAUGUUAAAGAGCCAAAUUGCCCCAUCAACAUCAUAGUUGUAGUUGCUCUGCUUAAAUGAAUAUAGAUGAAGUAGGCUCCUUGUUGUGCAAGGAUUUCCUUUGCUAAUAAAACUUGUGAGGAUUCA